ensembl:lncRNA
GGAUAGAGUACUUUCAUUCCCUCCUUUUUCCCUUUUUCCUCUCUCUCUCUCACUUACUGUCUCAUUCCUCCUGCUCUCCGAAUCAUUCCAGCAUUGCAAAGAAGCUCAGGGUGAACAGAAAAUCUCGUUUUUUUUCCUUGUCACCCGUGUCGAUAGAAAAGGAUUAUGGCUGAAACAGAACAGGAAUGGAGGGAGUUUGAAAGAGAAGAGAGAAUGGAGGGGCCGCCAGAAAGGUCAUGUCCGAGCAACCAACCCACCUCGGGCAUUACUCAUUAACCUAGCAACAAGCUAAGUCCGGUAACAGUGAUGACCUGAGGGGGGAUCAAACCAGAGAGCAGCUUCACCACAUUUCUG